CGAGUUGGUUGGAUGAUCGCUGCGGAGAUACUUUUUAAAGACCCUGCGCAGAGGAAAGUCCGGACUUCAAAGAGCAGGGCGCCAGGUAACACCUGGGAGGCGCGAGCUUACGGAUAGUGCAACAGAAAAUAUACCGCCAUUUUAUGGUAAGGGUGAAAAGGUAGGGUAAGAGCCUACCGCUUAAAUGGCAACAUUUAAGGCAUUGCAAACCCCAGCCUGAAGCAAAACCAAAUAGAAAUCCUAUAAAGU
rnacentral:RNase_P_RNA from 1 species